rnacentral:rRNA from 1 species
CUUGGCAAGUUCGAGCGGACAGAAGGGAGCUUGCUCCCGGAUGUUAGCGGCGGACGGGUGAGUAACACGUGGGUAACCUGCCUGUAAGACUGGGAUAACUCCGGGAAACCGGAGCUAAUACCGGAUAGUUCCUUGAACCGCAUGGUUCAAGGAUGAAAGACGGUUUCGGCUGUCACUUACAGAUGGACCCGCGGCGCAUUAGCUAGUUGGUGAGGUAACGGCUCACCAAGGCGACGAUGCGUAGCCGACCUGAGAGGGUGAUCGGCCACACUGGGACUGAGACACGGCCCAGACUCCUACGGGAGGCAGCAGUAGGGAAUCUUCCGCAAUGGACGAAAGUCUGACGGAGCAACGCCGCGUGAGUGAUGAAGGUUUUCGGAUCGUAAAGCUCUGUUGUUAGGGAAGAACAAGUGCAAGAGUAACUGCUUGCACCUUGACGGUACCUAACCAGAAAGCCACGGCUAACUACGUGCCAGCAGCCGCGGUAAUACGUAGGUGGCAAGCGUUGUCCGGAAUUAUUGGGCGUAAAGGGCUCGCAGGCGGUUUCUUAAGUCUGAUGUGAAAGCCCCCGGCUCAACCGGGGAGGGUCAUUGGAAACUGGGAAACUUGAGUGCAGAAGAGGAGAGUGGAAUUCCACGUGUAGCGGUGAAAUGCGUAGAGAUGUGGAGGAACACCAGUGGCGAAGGCGACUCUCUGGUCUGUAACUGACGCUGAGGAGCGAAAGCGUGGGGAGCGAACAGGAUUAGAUACCCUGGUAGUCCACGCCGUAAACGAUGAGUGCUAAGUGUUAGGGGGU